GUGGGGAAUAUUGGGCAAUGGGGGAAACCCUGAACCAGCAACGCCGCGUGAGGGAAGAAGGUUUUCGGAUUGUAAACCUCUGUCCUUGGUGACGAAGGAAGUGACGGUAGCCAAGGAGGAAGCCCCGGCUAACUACGUGCCAGCAGCCGCGGUAAUACGUAGGGGGCAAGCGUUGUCCGGAAUGACUGGGCGUAAAGGGCGUGUAGGCGGCCGAUUAAGUCUGGAGUGAAAGUCCUGCUUUCAAGGUGGGAAUUGCUUUGGAGACUGGUUGGCUUGAGUGCGGAAGAGGUAAGUGGAAUUCCCAGUGUAGCGGUGAAAUGCGUAGAGAUUGGGAGGAACACCAGUGGCGAAGGCGACUUACUGGGCCGUAACUGACGCUGAGGCGCGAAAGCGUGGGGAGCGAACAGGAUUAGAACCCCGGGUAGUCC
rnacentral:rRNA from 1 species